rnacentral:misc_RNA from 1 species
AAUGCUUAAUGCCUAAGACUUGCUUAAUUUUAAAACAAAUAAAUAGAAAACAUGAGCAAUAAGCAAAAAUGUAGAGCUGAGUGGGAGACUAUGCCGGAAAAUGAAAAAUGGCUGGGCAGAAGCGCAAAUAAUUCGGAUGCGCACUGCAAAGCGUGCCAGACUGACAUUUUGAGUAGGCUGGCGUCACUUAAGCAGCACGCGGCUACAAAAAACAUAAAGAUAAUAUGAAAUACUUCUGUGGAAAAUCAAAGAUACAAUCGUUUUUUAAAGAGUCGGACAACACUCCAGCUACCUCUAUCAAAAAGGCAGAAAUUAUGUUUGCUGUAGCGAUUGUUGAACACAACAUAUCAAUGAGAGCAAUGGACCAUAUUAGCGAUGUGAUCAAGCAUGCGUUUCCCGAUAGUGCCAUUGCGCAAGGGUUUCACUGCAAACGCACCAAAACAGCUUCGCUUACGUACAAUGUACUGGCACCUGUGAUGAAGGAACAACUGAUCUCUAGCGUGAAACGGUGCGUUUCUGCAGCGGGAAGGCCUGUGUUCUCCAUAAUCAUUGAUGAAUCGACUGAUGUUUCGUGUACAAAGGUCUUGGCGUGUGCUGUUAUGUAUUUCGACAAUGAAGCGUAAACAAAAUUCUUGUUCACCAUUGACUUAGAGGGUGAAAAAUCAGUCGACCUUUUUGCAGCACUCACCGAUGGACUCAAACUUAAUGGCUUUGACAUAAAUAAUAUAAUUGGAUUUGCUGCAGACACAACUAAUGUGAUGUAUGAUUCUCCUGCACACAAUAUACUUAACCACUACGAGAUACGUUGGCUAUCGUUUCAUUCUUGUGUGGCACGCAUACUAGAACAGUGGGAUGCCCUCAUUGCAUUCUUUCAAGAAGAAUAUGAAGUUGAUAACAAUUUAUCAGCUGAGUAUAUUCUAUCUAAUGUAAAAAAUCCAACUGUUAA